AAAUCAAGCUAAGGUAUAAUAAAAAAAUUUCUACUUGUGUAGGCUAAAUUUCCUUGGUAUUUUGAUUUGAUUUUUGACAACUUAAAGUUGUGAUCUUGAGGUUUAAAACCUUAGAUCUAUGUAUAUAUAAGUGUAUCAUGUUUAGAUUUAACAAUAUUGGGUGUUGAUUUUGGUUGGAAUCAAAGGUAUAAAAUUUCCUAAACUCAAAAACUCUAGUUAGUUUAUGUGUUUUGUGAUGGUUGUUUUUCAUCAAGUGUUGAACUUAUGAUUUUGAAUCAUGUGAGGGAAGAUCUACAUGAUAUAUGAUAUUUUAUGGUUAGAUCUUGCAAUUUUUAGGGUUGAUAAGCUUGAACAAAGAAGAUGAACCAAAACAGUUUUUUUGUUUUAAAUGAAUUAGUGAACUGCUGCUCUAAACAGAAAAUUUCGGAUUUGUUAGAGUGCUCUAAAAAUUCUGGACUUGUGAUAUGUUAUAUUACACUCAAUAAGCUUUCCAUAGACUCCGAAACGGAC
rnacentral:lncRNA from 1 species